GGGUUGUGAGGUUAAGCGACUAAGCGUACACGGUGGAUGCCCUGGCAGUCAGAGGCGAUGAAGGACGUGCUAAUCUGCGAAAAGCGUCGGUAAGGUGAUAUGAACCGUUAUAACCGGCGAUGUCCGAAUGGGGAAACCCAGUGCAAUUCGUUGCACUAUCGUUAACUGAAUACAUAGGUUAACGAGGCGAACCGGGGGAACUGAAACAUCUAAGUACCCCGAGGAAAAGAAAUCAACCGAGAUUCCCCCAGUAGCGGCGAGCGAACGGGGAGCAGCCCAGAGUCUGAAUCAGCUUGUGUGUUAGUGGAACGGUCUGGAAAGUCCGACGGUACAGGGUGAUAGUCCCGUACACCAAAAUGCACAGGCUGUGAACUCGAAGAGUAGGGCGGGACACGUGGUAUCCUGUCUGAAUAUGGGGGGACCAUCCUCCAAGGCUAAAUACUCCUGACUGACCGAUAGUGAACCAGUACCGUGAGGGAAAGGCGAAAAGAACCCCGGCGAGGGGAGUGAAAAAGAACCUGAAACCGUGUACGUACAAGCAGUGGGAGCACCUUCGGGUGUGACUGCGUACCUUUUGUAUAAUGGGUCAGCGACUUAUAUUCUGUAGCAAGGUUAACCGUAUAGGGGAGCCGCAGGGAAACCGAGUCUUAACUGGGCGUUAAGUUGCAGGGUAUAGACCCGAAACCCGGUGAUCUAGCCAUGGGCAGGUUGAAGGUUGGGUAACACUAACUGGAGGACCGAACCGACUAAUGUUGAAAAAUUAGCGGAUGACUUGUGGCUGGGGGUGAAAGGCCAAUCAAACCGGGAGAUAGCUGGUUCUCCCCGAAAGCUAUUUAGGUAGCGCCUCGUGAAUUCAUCUUCGGGGGUAGAGCACUGUUUCGGCUAGGGGGUCAUCCCGACUUACCAACCCGAUGCAAACUACGAAUACCGAAGAAUGUUAUCACGGGAGACACACGGCGGGUGCUAACGUCCGUCGUGAAGAGGGAAACAACCCAGACCGCCAGCUAAGGUCCCAAAGUCAUGGUUAAGUGGGAAACGAUGUGGGAAGGCACAGACAGCCAGGAUGUUGGCUUAGAAGCAGCCAUCAUUUAAAGAAAGCGUAAUAGCUCACUGGUCGAGUCGGCCUGCGCGGAAGAUGUAACGGGGCUAAACCAUGCACCGAAGCUGCGGCAGCGACACUAUGUGUUGUUGGGUAGGGGAGCGUUCUGUAAGCCUGCGAAGGUGUGCUGUGAGGCAUGCUGGAGGUAUCAGAAGUGCGAAUGCUGACAUAAGUAACGAUAAAGCGGGUGAAAAGCCCGCUCGCCGGAAGACCAAGGGUUCCUGUCCAACGUUAAUCGGGGCAGGGUGAGUCGACCCCUAAGGCGAGGCCGAAAGGCGUAGUCGAUGGGAAACAGGUUAAUAUUCCUGUACUUGGUGUUACUGCGAAGGGGGGACGGAGAAGGCUAUGUUAGCCGGGCGACGGUUGUCCCGGUUUAAGCAUGUAGGCUGGUUGUCCAGGCAAAUCCGGAUAAUCAAGGCUGAGGUGUGAUGACGAGGCACUACGGUGCUGAAGUAACAAAUGCCCUGCUUCCAGGAAAAGCCUCUAAGCAUCAGGUAACAUUAAAUCGUACCCCAAACCGACACAGGUGGUCAGGUAGAGAAUACCAAGGCGCUUGAGAGAACUCGGGUGAAGGAACUAGGCAAAAUGGUGCCGUAACUUCGGGAGAAGGCACGCUGGUGUGUAGGUGAAGUCCCUGCGGAUGGAGCUGAGACCAGUCGAAGAUACCAGCUGGCUGCAACUGUUUAUUAAAAACACAGCACUGUGCAAACACGAAAGUGGACGUAUACGGUGUGACGCCUGCCCGGUGCCGGAAGGUUAAUUGAUGGGGUUAUCCGUAAGGAGAAGCUCUUGAUCGAAGCCCCGGUAAACGGCGGCCGUAACUAUAACGGUCCUAAGGUAGCGAAAUUCCUUGUCGGGUAAGUUCCGACCUGCACGAAUGGCGUAAUGAUGGCCAGGCUGUCUCCACCCGAGACUCAGUGAAAUUGAACUCGCUGUGAAGAUGCAGUGUACCCGCGGCAAGACGGAAAGACCCCGUGAACCUUUACUAUAGCUUGACACUGAACAUUGAGCCUUGAUGUGUAGGAUAGGUGGGAGGCUUUGAAGCGUGGACGCCAGUCUGCGUGGAGCCAACCUUGAAAUACCACCCUUUAAUGUUUGAUGUUCUAACGUUGGCCCCUGACCGGGGUUGCGGACAGUGUCUGGUGGGUAGUUUGACUGGGGCGGUCUCCUCCCAAAGCGUAACGGAGGAGCACGAAGGUUAGCUAAUCCUGGUCGGACAUCAGGAGGUUAGUGCAAUGGCAUAAGCUAGCUUGACUGCGAGCGUGACGGCGCGAGCAGGUGCGAAAGCAGGUCAUAGUGAUCCGGUGGUUCUGAAUGGAAGGGCCAUCGCUCAACGGAUAAAAGGUACUCCGGGGAUAACAGGCUGAUACCGCCCAAGAGUUCAUAUCGACGGCGGUGUUUGGCACCUCGAUGUCGGCUCAUCACAUCCUGGGGCUGAAGUAGGUCCCAAGGGUAUGGCUGUUCGCCAUUUAAAGUGGUACGCGAGCUGGGUUUAGAACGUCGUGAGACAGUUCGGUCCCUAUCUGCCGUGGGCGCUGGAGAAUUGAGGGGGGCUGCUCCUAGUACGAGAGGACCGGAGUGGACGCAUCACUGGUGUUCGGGUUGUCAUGCCAAUGGCACUGCCCGGUAGCUAAAUGCGGAAGAGAUAAGUGCUGAAAGCAUCUAAGCACGAAACUUGCCCCGAGAUGAGUUCUCCCUGAGACUUUAAGUCUCCUGAAGGAACGUU
rnacentral:rRNA from 1 species